GAUGAACGCUGGCGGCGUGCUUAACACAUGCAAGUCGAACGGAAAGGCCCAAGCUUGCUUGGGUACUCGAGUGGCGAACGGGUGAGUAACACGUGGGUGAUCUGCCCUGCACUUCGGGAUAAGCCUGGGAAACUGGGUCUAAUACCGGAUAGGACCACUUCUUGGAUGUUGUGGUUGAAAGUUUUUUCGGUGUGGGAUGAGCUCGCGGCCUAUCAGCUUGUUGGUGGGGUAAUGGCCUACCAAGGCGUCGACGGGUAGCCGGCCUGAGAGGGUGUACGGCCACAUUGGGACUGAGAUACGGCACAGACUCCGACGGGAGGCAGCAGUGGGGAAUAUUGCACAAGGGGCGCAAGCCUGAUGCAGCGACGCCGCGUGGGGGAUGACGGCCUUCGGGUUGUAAACUCCUUUCGCUAGGGACGAAGCGUUUUGUGACGGUACCUGGAGAAGAAGCUCCGGCUAACUACGUG
rnacentral:rRNA from 1 species